AUGAGCCAAGAUUGGUAGCCUUUAAGCUACUACUGAUUUUAAACUGAAGAGUUUGAUCAUGGCUCAGAUUGAACGCUGGCGGCAGGCUUAACACAUGCAAGUCGAGCGGGGAAAAGUAGCUUGCUACUUUACCUAGCGGCGGACGGGUGAGUAAUGCUUAGGAAUCUGCCUAUUAGUGGGGGACAACAUCUCGAAAGGGAUGCUAAUACCGCAUACGUCCUACGGGAGAAAGCAGGGGAUCUUCGGACCUUGCGCUAAUAGAUGAGCCUAAGUCGGAUUAGCUAGUUGGUGGGGUAAAGGCCUACCAAGGCGACGAUCUGUAGCGGGUCUGAGAGGAUGAUCCGCCACACUGGGACUGAGACACGGCCCAGACUCCUACGGGAGGCAGCAGUGGGGAAUA
rnacentral:rRNA from 2 species